UACGAAGGGGGCUAGCGUUGCUCGGAAUCACUGGGCGUAAAGCGCACGUAGGCGAAUUGUUAAGUCAGGGGUGAAAUCCUGGAGCUCAACUCCAGAACUGCCUUUGAUACUGGCGAUCUCGAGUCCGGGAGAGGUGAGUGGAACUGCGAGUGUAGAGGUGAAAUUCGUAGAUAUUCGCAAGAACACCAGUGGCGAAGGCGGCUCACUGGCCCGGUACUGACGCUGAGGUGCGAAAGCGUGGGGAGCAAACAGG
rnacentral:rRNA from 1 species